rnacentral:ncRNA from 1 species
AUUCACGUCUGUGACUGUGAGUGUGACUAAAACCUAAUUAGUCACUGUUGCUGAUUGUUGGGAAGGUGUAGGGAUACUCCUUUAGGGUUUUCCUACAUGACGGGCAUCUCUUGUAGAUGCCC